rnacentral:rRNA from 1 species
UACGUAGGGUCCGAGCGUUGUCCGGAAUUAUUGGGCGUAAAGAGCUCGUAGGCGGUUUGUUGCGUCUGCUGUGAAAUCCCGAGGCUCAACCUCGGGUCUGCAGUGGAUACGGGCAGACUGGAGUGCGGUAGGGGAGAGUGGAAUUCCUGGUGUAGCGGUGGAAUGCGCAGAUAUCAGGAGGAACACCGAUGGCGAAGGCAGUUCUCUGGGCCGUAACUGACGCUGAGGCGCGAAAGCUAGGGGAGCAAACAGG